rnacentral:tRNA from 1 species
GGCGGCGGAAGCAGUGGCUGCGGCCCGCGCUCGUCGCGGGCGCGGUGGCCGCCGCCGUCGCGGCGGGUGUCCUGGUCGCCUCGCCGUUC